AACCAGCACCUCAAGUGGUCAGGAUGAUUAUUGGGCCUAAAGCAUCCGUAGCCGGCUUUGUAAGUUUUCGGUUAAAUCCAUGCGCUCAACGUAUGGGCUGCCGGGAAUACUGCAAAGCUAGGGAGUGGGAGAGGUAGACGGUACUCGGUAGGAAGGGGUAAAAUCCUUUGAUCUAUUGAUGACCACCUGUGGCGAAGGCGGUCUACCAGAACACGUCCGACGGUGAGGGAUGAAAGCUGGGGGAGCAAACCGGAUUAGAUACCCGGGUAGUCCCAGCUGUAAACUAUGCAAACUCAGUGAUGCAUUGGCUUGAUGCCAAUGCAGUGCUGCAGGGAAGCCGUUAAGUUUGCCGCCUGGGAAGUACGUACGCAAGUAUGAAACUUAAAGGAAUUGGCGGGGGAGCACCACAAGGGGUGAAGCCUGCGGUUCAAUUGGAGUCAACGCCAGAAAUCUUACCCGGAGAGACAGCAGAAUGAAGGUCAAGCUGAAGACUUUACCAGACAAGCUGAGAGGUGGUGCAUGGCCGUCGCCAGCUCGUGCCGUGAGAUGUCCUGUUAAGUCAGGUAACGAGCGAGAUCCCUGCCUCUAGUUGCCACCACUACUCUCAGGAGUAGUGGGGCGAAUUAGCGGGACCGCCGUAGUUAAUACGGAGGAAGGAAGGGGCCACGGCAGGUCAGUAUGCCCCGAAACUCUGGGGCCACACGCGGGCUGCAAUGGUAACGACAAUGUGUUCCGAAUCCGAAAGGAGGAGGUAAUCCUCAAACGUUACCACAGUUAUGACUGAGGGCUGCAACUCGCCCUCACGAAUAUGGAAUCCCUAGUAACUGCGUGUCACUAUCGCGCGGUGAAUACGUCCCUGCUCCU
rnacentral:rRNA from 1 species